rnacentral:lncRNA from 1 species
GCUCUGAAAACCAUCCACUAACCUCUCAAGUAAUGCAACUGUGAGGGCCUUGGGCCAACUCAUGCCGGACAUAGGGUAUGAAGUGAUUAUUAUAUCAAUGUUAACAUCUUUAGUAGUUGCGUAGCUUCUCCUCUGUAAUAAUAUCAUAGUGGCUUGUUUACCCACCCCAUCUUUCCAAGCAAUAACUCGUCGUCGUCUUCAAUGUUUCUUGGAAGUCCUUCCAAUUCAUAUUUAUAUAUUUUCCUAUCAAUAACACAAAGAAGGAGACAAAACUCUUUUUAAUUAUUUAUUAAUUCUGUGAAAGAACAUGAAAGCCUUGACUAAUCCCUAAGAAAAAUCCUUGAGAGGAUAUUGAUUAAAUGUUGCAGCAAAUUAAAGCAUGAACAAAAAAGCUAGGAUUCUAGAGAACCUUGAUAUAGAGGGUAUCAAAAAUCCUUGAGUCCAUGAGAAAUUUUUUUAUCAUAAGCACCAGACAUAGAUCAAAAAUCUGUGUCAUAAACACCAAACAUCCAGUAUCUUUAUUAGAUUUAUACGGCGAGUACUAAUGUUUUUUUUUAAGUUUAAACACUUCAUAACUGAAAACUUACACUGAGAAGAUGAUGAAUUGAAAAUUGAUCUUUCAUUUAUUUUCCUAUCAACAACUGAACGGAGAUAAUUCUUUUCUUUCUUUUCUUUAAAUCAAAAAAGAAAUCUCUUUUUAUCUUUCUGAAUAAUGAAACUAAGA